rnacentral:rRNA from 1 species
GACGGGGCCCGCACAAGCGGUGGAGCAUGUGGUUAAUUCGACGCAACGCGAAGAACCUUACCUGGGCUUGACAUCCCGAUCGCACCUUAUGGAAACAUAGGGGUCAGUUCGGCUGGAUCGGUGACAGGUGCUGCAUGGCUGUCGUCAGCUCGUGUCGUGAGAUGUUGGGUUAAGUCCCCGCAACGAGCGCAACCCUUGUCCUUAGUUGCCAGCAUUCAGUUGGGCACUCUAAGGAGACUGCCGGUGUCAAACCGGAGGAAGGUGGGGAUGACGUCAAGUCCUCAUGGCCCUUAUGUCCAGGGCUACACACGUGCUACAAUGGCCGGUACAAAGGGGCGCAAGACCGCGAGGUGGAGCAAAUCCCAAAAAACCGGUCUCAGUUCGGAUUGGAGUCUGCAACUCGACUCCAUGAAGUUGGAAUCGCUAGUAAUCGCGUAUCAGCAUGACGCGGUGAAUACGUUCCCGGGCCUU